CAUCCCACAGCAACCCACCGCAACGAGAUCUACAACGGCCAUCAGGGUGGCGUCUUCAUCUUGGGCGAAGGCCGCGGCUUGAUCGAGCAUAACAAUAUCUAUGUGACUCAAUGUGGAUUGUGAAGACACAGAAGGGGACGCAUUUGGAUCUUGAAUCAUGAAUGUUGAAUCUUGAUGCUCACA